UACGAAGGGGGCUAGCGUUGCUCGGAAUCACUGGGCGUAAAGGGUGCGUAGGCGGGUCUUUUAAGUCAGGGGUGAAAUCCUGGAGCUCAACUCCAGAACUGCCUUUGAUACUGAGGAUCUUGAGUUCGGGAGAGGUGAGUGGAACUGCGAGUGUAGAGGUGAAAUUCGUAGAUAUUCGCAAGAACACCAGUGGCGAAGGCGGCUCACUGGCCCGAUACUGACGCUGAGGAACGAAAAGCUAGGGGAGCAAACGGG
rnacentral:rRNA from 1 species